rnacentral:tRNA from 1 species
CCCUGGUGAAGCUCAGUUGGUAGAGCGCUCCACCUGUAAUGGAGAGGUCCCGGGUUCGAUACCCGGAUCAGGCG